rnacentral:rRNA from 1 species
UGGGGAAUAUUGGACAAUGGGCGCAAGCCUGAUCCAGCCAUGCCGCGUGAGUGACGAAGGCCUUAGGGUUGUAAAGCUCUUUUGGCGGGGACGAUAAUGACGGUACCCGCAGAAUAAGCUCCGGCUAACUUCGUGCCAGCAGCCGCGGUAAUACGAAGAGAGCUAGCGUUGUUCGGAAUCACUGGGCGUAAAGGGCGCGCAGGCGGGUGAACAAGUCUCUCGUGAAAUCCCACGGCUCAACCGUGGAACUGCGGCAGAUACUGUUCGUCUUGAGUCCGGGAGAGGAGAGUGGAAUUCCCAGUGUAGCGGUGAAAUGCGUAGAUAUUGGGAGGAACACCGGUGGCGAAGGCGGCUCUCUGGACCGGAACUGACGCUGAGGCGCGAAAGCUAGGGUAGCAAACGGGAUUAGAUACCCCGGUAGUCCUAGCCGUAAACGAUGAGCACUUGGUGUGGCGGGUAUCGACCCCCGCCGUGCCGAAGCUAACGCAUUAAGUGCUCCGCCUGGGGAGUACGGUCGCAAGGCUG